GAGGGUAUAGCUCAGUCAUAGGGUGCAUGCCUAGCGUGCAUGAGGUCCUGGGUUCUAUUCCCAAUACCUCCA
rnacentral:tRNA from 1 species